rnacentral:pre_miRNA from 14 species
UCUUCGGAGUCUGGGGUGGUCGCGAAGAUCCCGGACGAGCCCCCAUAAAUAUGAAAGAUCCCACGCAGAGAGACCCUUACUCAAGUCUUGGGAAAUCGCGGACCCCAGACACAGAGAGACCA